UCUUCUAUAUUGCUUAAAUCUUUACUAUUGAUAUUUGUGCAUUAACUUGCUAGUUUGAUUGUGUCCUCGACUAUGUGGUUUAUUUGGUUUCUCCUAUACUGUUUAUUUAUUUAUUUUAGUUAUUUGGUUACCUGAUUAUGAUAAACUGUAUUGUUUGCUUAGAUGCCUUUUAGGUUAAUCUGUAAAUACAGAAUGAGGUGUUGGUAUGCGAUUGAUGGUUUUUUGAAUAAUGAGAAUCUAUAUAUAUGAAAACUUACUGGGCACUCCAAAAAAGGGUGGACAGUCCCGGUACAUAGGAAACUCUAUUAUGAAUAUUACCUCAAUCGGACAGGGCUGAGAAAUCCCAUACUGGAAGGGUUAAGGAGAUAUGAUUUACACUCAUACUGGAUGGAGUAUUGAGACGAUGAUAUGAUUGACGCCCAUUAUCAGACGAGGUAUGGGAAUGACCGGGUUAAUUGUUAAUAUAGAUGUUGAGUUCACGAGUAAGAGGAUAUCCCAAUGGACCCCCAGGGGUCCUAGUAAGUAGGUUAAAAUGAGAAUUACUGAUCUUAUACAUGAAAUUAAAAUGUCACUUAGUUAUUUAUCUUCAUAGGUUAUUUUCGAAAAAACUCGUAACGGUAAGUGUGGAU
rnacentral:lncRNA from 1 species